CGUCUUGAUAUUAAAAACCGCUAUUUAAAUUUCAAUCUAAUAGAGUGACAAAAAUGAUGUGUUCUUUGUUUUGAACAUGUUUUGAUGACCGUAGAUCAAACCGAUAAUAUGCCGUAUUGAUGAAUACAAUUCAAUAUGGUCAAUGUAAGCCCUUGUAAAGAUAGAAACUUUUCAAAAAUAUUGUUCUGAGAUAAAAUCAUUUUUUUAGUGAUUUGUUCAAAGUGGUCAGUAAAAUCUCACGAGUAUUUCUUCGUAAAUUCUAUUUUAUUCGUAUAAACGAAAAUACGUUUUUUCCAUUU